rnacentral:rRNA from 1 species
GACGAACGCUGGCGGCGUGCUUAACACAUGCAAGUCGAGCGGUAAGGCCCUUUCGGGGGUACACGAGCGGCGAACGGGUGAGUAACACGUGGGUGACCUGCCCUCAGCUCUGGGAUAAGCCUGGGAAACCGGGUCUAAUACUGGAUAUGACUCCAUGACGCAUGUUGUGGGGUGGAAAGCCUUGUGCGGCUGAGGAUGGGCCCGCGGCCUAUCAGCUUGUUGGUGGGGUGANGGCCUACCAAGGCGACGACGGGUAGCCGGCCUGAGAGGGCGACCGGCCACACUGGGACUGAGACACGGCCCAGACUCCUACGGGAGGCAGCAGUGGGGAAUCUUGCGCAAUGGGCGAAAGCCUGACGCAGCGACGCCGCGUGAGGGAUGACGGCCUCGGUUGUAACUAC